rnacentral:lncRNA from 1 species
UUAUGGUGCUAUUCCCGGAGAACAACUCUUUUAGGAUAUCAAUCAGCUGAUUAUAUCAUAUCCCUUUUUCCCCAACUAUUGUUAACUGGUAUAAUACUGCACUACCGCUAUUAAAACACUACUAUCAUAUUUACCAUGCUUGAGCAAAUGACUAGUUUACAUACCUGAAGGCGAUGCAAGAUAUACAUCAGGAAGAGAUGCACAAAUAUCUGCCAACAUCAUCACAAAGUAUCAGAUAAAAUAUAGUGCGGGACUUUACCAAAGAAAUGGCAGGGUACAGAUGAGAGUCAAAGUGUGUGUUUUGCUCUCUCUAAUUUUUGAAACCUCCAAUUUAUAGAGAUAUUAAUAUAUUAGCACCUUAGAGUAGCCUCUUAUCUCAUUUGACGUGUCCGUUUGGUUUCCCAGGAAGUAAAUUCAUUAACCUCUUUAUAAUUAUAACUAGCUGGUAAAUUAGAAAGCAUAAAAUCAUAUUAAUUUUUCCCAAAUUCUAGUCUGCAACAUGCGAACACCAAGUACUGAAUUUUUUAUAUUUAAGAUUUUUUUUUUCUUCUGGCACAUGCAUCAAGUUGGGUAAAUGGAGAAAACUACAAUGGAAAAAAUUGUAGAAUGCUCACUGACAAAGUAGUAUUGAAAUUGGUUGUGGCCAUACAAAUAAAGAGAUAAAAGUAAAUGAAAAGAUGAAGUUUUGGUGACAUUAUAGAAGUUUUAGUGACAUUAUAGAAAACUGAGGGGUCCAAUAGUAAUUAAUGUGAAAAGUCUGCAGCUAUAAGACAAGGAUAUGAGCAUUGAGAGCACAGUGGGUCUGGGAAUCUAAAUAAUACAUUAGGUCCCAGUAACAGAUAUGAAGAGACCGCCCCAAAAAGAUUAUUGUUUCACAACUCAAAUUAGUUCUUCAUUCUAUUAGGAACUAUAAUACAGAAGAAACCAGGAUGAUGGUUCAGGUGUACAAAUCUCAUGGCACACAACUUUAACUCCAGGAAUUGCAACCUAUGUAAUAAUUUCUCUUCACUUCUUUCCAUUUUCUAUUCCAGGUAAUAUUCUUCUCCCACUUCACAUCUGGCAACUAAAGUUGAGUCCCAUCCCAUGUCAUGUCAUGUUGUGAUGCACGGUGAUGAUUAAGGGCACAGUAUCCAGUUCAUGUAACACAGUCCAAAACAUAAGACAACAAUGUCAUUGACGCAGGAGUUUAACUGUUCUCAC